rnacentral:piRNA from 1 species
UCCAGAGGUCCUAAGUUCAAUUCCCAGC